rnacentral:misc_RNA from 1 species
CGCGGUGCGUUGCAUCCACACACUGUAACGCGGUGCGUCGUCGUUCUUUUACGUAGGUGCACAAGGCAAUUAGCAUUACGCAGCCCACAAUCUUGCUGUGCUCUAGCGGAACAACAUCACAGAAGAAUCACUAAAGCCUUUGCUCUUUUCAAAAAGUAACUGCGUUGUAUUUGUUCUUAGGUCCCUUCUCUCUCUGAUGAUGCCGGCCACCUCACCGCAGUAUCACGGUGCAAUACCCAUUCUGUGGUGAAGCCGAUAACCGGGAGCCUGGCCUCGGGUACGGUUGUGGUCUCUUGGUUCUGACGGACAAUUUUGGGCUGGUGCCGUGCGGAAGAGACAUGCGAUCAUGACCACGUUUGCACCAGCUCACUACACAUCGUUCCGGCGAUGCAACGAAUCUACUCCUUCACCUACUGUUUUUCUGCUUGUGCUGCGCUGCGGUGAUGCUGAGUGUGACCAUGAACCUAGCCUACGCUGCAUGCAGUGGCGUUGAAAUGGACACAAAGACGCCAAGCGGUGUUUGUGGGCCCGGUUCCCCCACAUAGCCGACGUGUGGCAGAGGCAGGUGAACUGCGGUUGUGUAUCUGUCUAUUUGCUGACAUGUUUGUUCAACCAUGAACACGUUAGAAGAAAUACGUGUCCAUGCCGCCACACAACAAGAGCUAAGCUCAUCUCUGCCCGGCCGGUCACAGGCCCCGUCGCGCGGCGCGAGGCAGCCGUAGGCACACGAGGUGCAGCAAUGCCCAGACCCGGUCAUCGGUGCAUGGCUUCUGCCUCGAACCUUACCCACCCCCGCCCCACAGGUCGCCCCACAGCCACGCACAUUAUGCUGGCCAUCACCCGGGGCAUCCCUCUCGGGGGGCCCAGACUCACCCCGCCCCCAGUGGGCAGUGAGGGCCGGGGGUGGGACGCGUUCGAGUCACGCCGACACUCCGCCCAUCCUGUGGAUGGCGAAAACGUGUGCGCGGUCGCGGGUCGCUCCGGCGCCACGCCAUCCAGCACCGGACACUGCGGGCAUCGGCAGUGAUACAUCGCUCUGACGUCCCUACGUCACGCGCGCCUGACCCUGUCACCACCAGAGGUGGUUGUGCAGUGGCAGGAAUAGGGGCUGCUUGGCUUCCCCACAGAGAGAGUGGGCACUGGGCCCAGAUACCACGCUGAGGUGUCACCUAUGUUAUCAGGGACAAUGGACUUUAGGUGAGGAGCGCAAUCAAGCACAGUGCAGCAAAGGUGCUGUUUAGGGUCUAGCUGUGCGAGGUAAAGAGAGGCGCGCAGUCUUCACUACCUGCUCAGCUGUUUCGAGGGGGAAGAAAUUGCGAAGCUGGUUUCACUGUUGCGUCUCUGAUGUGGGGCGAGCUCGUGCACUCACCUCUGUCGAAUGCUCAGUUGUUAGAGCACAUCACAGCGCCAGGCUGCAAUCAGCACUAUCGAGACAAC